GUCGACGUAGCUCAGGUAGUUAGAGCAUAGCACUCAUAAAGCUAAGGUCGAAGGUGCAAGUCCUUCCGUCGACA
rnacentral:tRNA from 1 species